rnacentral:lncRNA from 1 species
UAGUAUUCAAUCUCCACACUCUCUUCUCUUCAUAGCUCUCGCUCAUAUCUCUCUCUAUCUUUUGCCCUAGCUAACUUGUUUUCUUCCUUCUUUUUCUCAAUCCGCUUCACAUCAAUGCAUCCUCACGAUUCAUGGGCUUUUCGGAUUAAGUUUUCUCUGGGAUCUCGAAGAAUUGCCAUUUUUUUAAAUAUGUUAAAGCAGACGAGUCGCUUCGAUUACUUCAUUUGGUUAGUCUGAUUCUGUUUAUAUAGUUUCUUAACUUGCAAUUUGUUUUAUGAAAUGUUUUGUGUUGUUUGUUAGAUCUCUCCAUAUUUAUAUAUUAGUUUGCGAAGUCAGAUGUUUGCAUGUACAGAUUAAUGCUCAUGGAUGAGAGGUUUGUCAACCUUUAAUGGAUCUGUCUCCCCUUCUCAGGUUUGGUUUCUCAUCUCCAUUUUUAUUUGUUAGAUGUGUGUUAUAUAGAAUGUCUCAGCCUUGAUCGUACUUCUGUUGUGUUUUUUCUUUUGUUACUUCCGUUAAGAUGCGUACCGUGUAAAAUAAAAAGCACAUAAUAAUGCAAGAUCCCUUGUCUUUCUGCAAGUAUUGUCUGAUUGUCUAAUUACUUAGUGUCUAUGUUCCUUUCACUAAUGAACAGCUUAAUAGUGGUUAAUUAUGCGCAUAAAAUAAAAGCAAAUUAUUUUGUCUCUUGACCAGAGAAACUGAUCAAAACUUAAAUCACAGAUAUGAAACUGACUAUCAUGAUGUGGUUUUCGAUUCAUUUUCUCGCAUCUUUUUUUUUAUGUAUACCUAAAAAGAGUUUGAAAGCUUCAUUAGAUUCUCACUUUAAUGUUAAAAAGGUGUCUGUACCUAAAUUACAUCAUAUGUACGAAGUACGAACACAUCAUUUUUUUUUUCUUCUUUUUUGCAAAUUAGCAUUGCAUCACCCACUACCACUAGAGUUCUGAUGUUUUUUUUUUCUGAUUGUAAUGCUCUUUUUUCUGACUUCAUGGCCUGCACUAAGUUGAAUUCUCACUAUGUCUCUAUUUGGAAGCUAUUUUCAGAAUUAAAGCUUGAUCUUUGUGUUCCUUGUCAAUAAACGUUGAUUUCUGAAUAAUAUAUUUUAGACAACUAUAUCUAUGAUAAGUUAAUAGUCCAAAGCAAUCCAGAAAAGCUCAAGGGUGAUAGUUGAAAACACCUUAGGAAACAUUCGUGUUCAUAAGACUUUACAUGUGCAAAAAUAAAUUGUUACUUCUUUGAGAAAGCAGUGGCUUGAGUAGAAACUCCAUUAAGUUUGUAAUUAGUUUGGGUUCUUAGAUUAAAAAGGAAGUGAAUGGAGCUUGUUACACUGAAAAGAAACUAAGAAUUCUGUGGAUUAGAGACGAGCAAUACAAUUUUGUGCAUAAUUCAGGUUUAUGUCCACAUAUCUUUGUAACAUGAAUUUGAAUCUAAAAAUUCAUCUGCGUUUGUGUAUGCAGAGUGGUAAACUGCUGAGUUGAGAUACUGAUGAUGGUUUUACAAUGGGGCUGCCGUGGUUAACUAAACCAGCGACUAACAGGUUCGCUCGAGUUGUCUCUCAUGUCUAGACCAUUUGUGAGAAGGGAUUUUCUGUUUGCAUCAUUCACUCCCACCAAUUUCUAAGUAUGCAAUAAGUAUUAUUCUCAGUUAAGAAAAAAACAAUCCUAUUAUUUGAGAUGCUUCUACAGCUUGAAAUAUGUUGUUUCGUUCUUUAUAUGGCUACCAAAACGUUAAGAAACCAGGUGAACAUUUCCCUAAAAAGGUCUAGCCUGUAGGUCAUAGUCAUUAGAGCCACCUCUCACUUCUCGAUUAAAAGGUGUUAUUUCUUCCAUCAAAAUCUGAUCCUUGAGGAGUUAGGUACAUAAGUAAGUACACAGAGUGAACACAUAACUUGAUAAUGUCAUUUACACUUUGGACAUUUUCCCAAGAGAUGCCAAAUUCUCAAUGGAUUUUGAGUUUUUCAAUGAUAGCUAAAAUUUGUAUCUAGCACUACUUAUAGCUACACUAGUAUACUUGAUAAUAUUUGGGGGAGUGGGGGAGAUGCUGUGUUAUUAUUCCCUUCUCAUCGAUGGUCUAGAUGUGUGAGGUGACUCUCAUGGAGGUAAAGAGAAAUGGUGAUUUAUAGGAAAGCAUCCACCACAAUGGUAUUAUCCUAAAAGGGUUAGAAAAUUUUCUUGUUGAAUUAUUGUUUUGUAUUGCUAGAUUUUGGACCAGUGGUCUGCUAAUGCAACACAUGUGAUACUUUCGAGUAUAGUUGUGUAAGCUUUAUUUUUCAGGUUUGAGUACAACAGCAUGCCAUUAUUAAUCAACGAUGGAUGCAGAAGCAGUUACUAAAAAAUCAGAAAACAGAAAAAGUCGAAGUGUUUUAAACGAUGAAAGAGCAAAGUGAACGAAAGGUGUACCUUUUUUACUAUAUUCUCUCUCGUUCAUCCAUUUCAUGCUGCAACCGAAAAGACCAAAGGGAAUGGAAUGGGUGUGUUUUAAUUACAUGACUUAACGCCAAGUAUUUAGAGAUUGCUUGUAAAUUCAUAAGUACUAUAUACAAAUACUCGGUAGAUUUUAACUCCCGAAUGAAAGACUUUGUAUCUAUCUUCUUAUCCAUAAGUACUAAAUGGAUUUAUAUAAUAUCAAUACUAUUAAAACAGAAGACCUUUUUUUGAGGUGACCUCCUGUUUCAGCAGUAUUUACAAAAUCAUGCCACUGGCUUAAUUAAAACCAAUGUUUUUAUUUAAUUCUG